AUUGAACGCUGGCGGCAGGCCUAACACAUGCAAGUCGAGCGGAGCGGGGGACGGGGGAGUAAUGCCUAGGAAUCUGCCUGGUAGUGGGGGAUAACGUCCGGAACCGGGAGCUAAUACCGCAUACUAUCAGAUGAGCCUGGGCCGGAUUAGCUAGUUGGUGGGGUAAAGGCCCACAAAGGCGAAGAUCCGUAUCUGGUCUGAGAGGAUGAUCAGUCACACUGGAACUGAGACACGGUCCAGACUCCUACGGGAGGCAGCAGUGGGGAAUAUUGGGCAAUGGGCGAAAGCCUGAUCCAGCCAUGCCGCGUGAGUGAAGAAGGUCUUCGGAUUGUAAAGCUCUUUAGGUUGGGAGGCGUUACCUACAGAAUAAGCACCGGCUAACUCCGUGCCAGCAGCCGCGGUAAUAC
rnacentral:rRNA from 1 species